rnacentral:rRNA from 1 species
AUUGAACGCUGGCGGCAGGCCUAACACAUGCAAGUCGAGCGGGUGAAGGGAGCUUGCUCCUGGAUUCAGCGGCGGACGGGUGAGUAAUGCCUAGGAAUCUGCCUGGUAGUGGGGGAUAACGUCCGGAAACGGGCGCUAAUACCGCAUACGUCCUGAGGGAGAAAGUGGGGGAUCUUCGGACCUCACGCUAUCAGAUGAGCCUAGGUCGGAUUAGCUAGUUGGUGGGGUAAAGGCCUACCAAGGCGACGAUCCGUAACUGGUCUGAGAGGAUGAUCAGUCACACUGGAACUGAGACACGGUCCAGACUCCUACGGGAGGCAGCAGUGGGGAAUAUUGGACAAUGGGCGAAAGCCUGAUCCAGCCAUGCCGCGUGUGUGAAGAAGGUCUUCGGAUUGUAAAGCACUUUAAGUUGGGAGGAAGGGCAGUAAGUUAAUACCUUGCUGUUUCGACGUUACCAACAGAAUAAGCACCGGCUAACUUCGUG